rnacentral:rRNA from 1 species
GACGAACGUUGGCGGCGUGCUUAACACAUGCAAGUCGAACGGUGAAGCGCCUUCCUUUUUGGUGGGUGUGGAUGAGUGGCGAACGGGUGAGUAACACGUGAGUAACCUGCCCCCUUCUUCUGGAUAACCGCAUGAAAGUGUGGCUAAUACGGGAUAUUCUGGGUCUGUCGCAUGAUGGGUCUGGGAAAGAUAUUGUUUCGGUGGGGGAUGGGCUCGCGGCCUAUCAGCUUGUUGGUGGGGUGAUGGCCUACCAAGGCGGUGACGGGUAGCCGGCCUGAGAGGGUGGACGGUCACACUGGGACUGAGACACGGCCCAGACUCCUACGGGAGGCAGCAGUGGGGAAUAUUGCACAAUGGGCGCAAGCCUGAUGCAGCGACGCCGCGUGAGGGAUGGAGGCCUGCGGGUUGUGAACCUCUUUCGCCAGUGAAGCAGGCCUGCCUCGUUUGUGGGUGGGUUGACGGUAGCUGGAUAAGAAGCGCCGGCUAACUACGUG